rnacentral:rRNA from 1 species
GACGAACGCUGGCGGCGUGCCUAAUACAUGCAAGUAGAACGCUGAAGGAGGAGCUUGCUUCUCUGGAUGAGUUGCGAACGGGUGAGUAACGCGUAGGUAACCUGCCUGGUAGCGGGGGAUAACUAUUGGAAACGAUAGCUAAUACCGCAUAAGAGUAGAUGUUGCAUGACAUUUGCUUAAAUGGUGCAAUUGCAUCACUACCAGAUGGACCUGCGUUGUAUUAGCUAGUUGGUGGGGUAACGGCUUACCAAGGCGACGAUACAUAGCCGACCUGAGAGGGUGAUCGGCCACACUGGGACUGAGACACGGCCCAGACUCCUACGGGAGGCAGCAGUAGGGAAUCUUCGGCAAUGGACGGAAGUCUGACCGAGCAACGCCGCGUGAGUGAAGAAGGUUUUCGGAUCGUAAAGCUCUGUUGUAAGAGAAGAACGAGUGUGAGAGUGGAAAGUUCACACUGUGACGGUAUCUUACCAGAAAGGGACGGCUAACUACGUG